rnacentral:rRNA from 1 species
UAUACAUGCAAGUCGUACGCACUGGCCCAACUGAUUGAUGGUGCUUGCACCUGAUUGACGAUGGAUCACCAGUGAGUGGCGGACGGGUGAGUAACACGUAGGUAACCUGCCCCGGAGCGGGGGAUAACAUUUGGAAACAGAUGCUAAUACCGCAUAACAACAAAAGCCACAUGGCUUUUGUUUGAAAGAUGGCUUUGGCUAUCACUCUGGGAUGGACCUGCGGUGCAUUAGCUAGUUGGUAAGGUAACGGCUUACCAAGGCGAUGAUGCAUAGCCGAGUUGAGAGACUGAUCGGCCACAAUGGAACUGAGACACGGUCCAUACUCCUACGGGAGGCAGCAGUAGGGAAUCUUCCACAAUGGGCGCAAGCCUGAUGGAGCAACACCGCGUGAGUGAAGAAGGGUUUCGGCUCGUAAAGCUCUGUUGUUGGAGAAGAACGUGCGUGAGAGUAACUGUUCACGCAGUGACGGUAUCCAACCAGAAAGUCACGGCUAACUACGUGCCAGCAGCCGCGGUAAUACGUAGGUGGCAAGCGUUAUCCGGAUUUAUUGGGCGUAAAGCGAGCGCAGGCGGUUGCUUAGGUCUGAUGUGAAAGCCUUCGGCUUAACCGAAGAAGUGCAUCGGAAACCGGGCGACUUGAGUGCAGAAGAGGACAGUGGAACUCCAUGUGUAGCGGUGGAAUGCGUAGAUAUAUGGAAGAACACCAGUGGCGAAGGCGGCUGUCUGGUCUGCAACUGACGCUGAGGCUCGAAAGCAUGGGUAGCGAACAGGAUUAGAUACCCUGGUAGUCCAUGCCGUAAACGAUGAGUGCUAGGUGUUGGAGGGUUUCCGCCCUUCAGUGCCGGAGCUAACGCAUUAAGCACUCCGCCUGGGGAGUACGACCGCAAGGUUGAAACUCAAAGGAAUUGACGGGGGCCCGCACAAGCGGUGGAGCAUGUGGUUUAAUUCGAAGCUACGCGAAGAACUUACCAGGUCUUGACAUCUUGCGCUAACCUUAGAGAUAAGGCGUUCCCUUCGGGGACGCAAUGACAGGUGGUGCAUGGUCGUCGUCAGCUCGUGUCGUGAGAUGUUGGGUUAAGUCCCGCAACGAGCGCAACCCUUGUUACUAGUUGCCAGCAUUAAGUUGGGCACUCUAGUGAGACUGCCGGUGACAAACCGGAGGAAGGUGGGGACGACGUCAGAUCAUCAUGCCCCUUAUGACCUGGGCUACACACGUGCUACAAUGGACGGUACAACGAGUCGCAAGCUCGCGAGAGUAAGCUAAUCUCUUAAAGCCGUUCUCAGUUCGGACUGUAGGCUGCAACUCGCCUACACGAAGUCGGAAUCGCUAGUAAUCGCGGAUCAGCAUGCCGCGGUGAAUACGUUCCCGGGCCUUGUACACACCGCCCGUCACACCAUGGGAGUUUGUAACGCCCAAAGUCGGUGGCCUAACCUUUAUGGAGGGAGCCGCCUAAG